rnacentral:rRNA from 1 species
UGGGGAAUUGUUCGCAAUGGGCGCAAGCCUGACGACGCAACGCCGCGUGGAGGAUGAAGGUCUUCGGAUUGUAAACUCCUGUUGACCGGGAAGAACAGGUUUCAACCUAACACGUUGGAGCACUGACGGUACCGGUUGAGGAAGCCACGGCUAACUCUGUGCCAGCAGCCGCGGUAAUACAGAGGUGGCAAGCGUUGUUCGGAAUUACUGGGCGUAAAGGGCGCGUAGGCGGCCUUCUAAGUCAGACGUGAAAUCCCCAGGCUUAACUUGGGAACUGCGUCUGAUACUGGGAGGCUUGAGUGCGGGAGAGGGAUGUGGAAUUCCAGGUGUAGCGGUGAAAUGCGUAGAUAUCUGGAGGAACACCGGUGGCGAAGGCGGCAUCCUGGACCGACACUGACGCUGAGGCGCAAAAGCCAGGGGAGCAAACGGGAUUAGAUACCCCGGUAGUCCUGGCCCUAAACGAUGAGUGCUUGGUGUGGCGGGUAUCGAUCCCUGCCGUGCCGAAGCUAACGCAUUAAGCACUCCGCCUGGGGAGUACGGUCGCAAGGCUGA